rnacentral:rRNA from 1 species
UACGAAGGGGGCUAGCGUUGCUCGGAAUCACUGGGCGUAAAGCGCACGUAGGCGGAUUGCUAAGUCGGUGGUGAAAUCCUGAAGCUCAACUUCAGAACUGCCUUCGAUACUGGGGACCUUGAGUUCGGGAGAGGUGAGUGGAACUGCGAGUGUAGAGGUGAAAUUCGUAGAUAUUCGCAAGAACACCAGUGGCGAAGGCGGCUCACUGGCCCGAUACUGACGCUGAGGUGCGAAAGCGUGGGGAGCAAACAGG